GGGAAUGUGGCUUAGUGGUAGAGUGCUUGCCUUGCAUGCAUGAGGCCCUGGGUUUGAUUCCUCAGCAUCA
rnacentral:tRNA from 1 species